UACGUAGGGUGCGAGCGUUGUCCGGAAUUACUGGGCGUAAAGAGCUCGUAGGUGGUUUGUCGCGUUGUUCGUGAAAACCUGAGGCUUAACCUUGGGCGUGCGGGCGAUACGGGCAGACUGGAGUACUGCAGGGGAGACUGGAAUUCCUGGUGUAGCGGUGGAAUGCGCAGAUAUCAGGAGGAACACCGGUGGCGAAGGCGGUUCUCUGGGCAUUACCUGACGCUGAGGAGCGAAAGUGUGGGGAGCGAACAGG
rnacentral:rRNA from 1 species